GGGGGAAACCCUGAUGCAGCGACGCCGCGUGAGCGAUGAAGUAUUUCGGUAUGUAAAGCUCUAUCAGCAGGGAAGAAAAUGA
rnacentral:rRNA from 1 species